rnacentral:rRNA from 1 species
AUUGAACGCUGGCGGCAUGCCUUACACAUGCAAGUCGAACGGCAGCACGGGAGCAAUCCUGGUGGCGAGUGGCGAACGGGUGAGUAAUGUAUCGGAACGUGCCCAGUCGUGGGGGAUAACGCAGCGAAAGCUGUGCUAAUACCGCAUACGAUCUAUGGAUGAAAGCGGGGGAUCGCAAGACCUCGCGCGAUUGGAGCGGCCGAUAUCAGAUUAGGUAGUUGGUGGGGUAAAGGCCCACCAAGCCUGCGAUCUGUAGCUGGUCUGAGAGGACGACCAGGCACACUGGAACUGAGACACGGUCCAGACUCCUACGGGAGGCAGCAGUGGGGAAUUUUGGACAAUGGGCGCAAGCCUGAUCCAGCAAUGCCGCGUGCAGGAUGAAGGCCUUCGGGUUGUAAACUGCUUUUGUACGGAGCGAAACGGCUCUCACUAAUACUGGGGGCUAAUGACGGUACCGUAAGAAUAAGCACCGGCUAACUACGUGCCAGCCGCCGCCGUAA